rnacentral:rRNA from 1 species
CACGCCCUAAACUAUGUCAACUAGUUGUCGGGGAAGAAAUUCCUUGGUAACGAAGCUAACGCGUGAAGUUGACCGCCUGGGGAGUACGGCCGCAAGGUUAAAACUCAAAGGAAUUGACGGGGACCCGCACAAGCGGUGGAUUAUGUGGAUUAAUUCGAUGCAACGCGAAAAACCUUACCUACCCUUGACAUGCUAGGAAGUCCGCAGAGAUGUGGACGUGCCCGAAAGGGAACCUAGACACAGGUGC